AAUUCAAGCAUUUAUUUGUGUGUUCGAGUAUUAAUUUAAAAUGUCACUCAAUCAAGAAGUUAAAAACAUUAUGCUACAAAUAUAAAGUUAAAAACAUUAUGCUACAAAAUGAUGAAACAAUAUUGAUCGCUUUGAAAAAUAUAUUACAAAAAAAUAUUAGUUCUUGUAAUAAUACGAUUCUUGUCGACUCUUACGAAGAAGAAAAACUCUUUAUCAAUCAAUAUCAAUCAAUAUAUAUUUUUCACUUUAAUAAUACUGUAUAUAUAUACAAUUGUGCGGGACAUUUACAAACAGUUAUAAACUGAUGACGUUAUAAACUGUUAUAAACUGAUUUAAAAUUUUGAAAUCUAUCUGCCAAAGAGUUUUAAAGAAAAACAUAAUGGCAGUUAUGUUGUUUUAAGUUCCAUCUCAAACCAUGUACAAUCAAUCAGCUUCAGAUUAUAAUAGCUUUGAAACAAUGAUAAUGAAAGUUUUUUCAUCGUUCUAAAUUUAUGAUACAGUUAUGGUCGUAAAAGAUUAAGAAAAAUCUUAUGGGUGCAAUUAUUCCACUGACACCUGCGAAAAUAACCAAAAGAACUGACCAUCGCUGUUUAUUGUAUUUUUUUAAAUGUUUUAUUUAAACAAUCUAACACUUAA
rnacentral:misc_RNA from 1 species